rnacentral:rRNA from 1 species
CUGCAGCCCGAGUGGUGAUCGAUUUUAUUGAGCCUAAAGCGUCCGUAGCCGGACUAGUAAACCCUUGGGUAAAUUGGGCAGCUUAACUGUCCGAAUUCCGAGGGGACUGCUAGUCUUGGGACCGGGAGAGGUCAGAGGUACUCCAGGGGUAGGGGCUAAAUCCGAUAUGGUUAUGUGCCAGUCGGUUAGCAUUCCUGUAAUCCUUGGGGGACCACCAGUGGCGAAGGCGUCUGACUAGAACGGAUCCGACGGUAAGGGACGAAACCCUGGGGCGCGAACCGGAUUAGAUACCCGAGUAGUCC